AACGAACGCUGGCGGCAGGCUUAACACAUGCAAGUCGAACGGGCAUAGCAAUACGUCAGUGGCAGACGGGUGAGUAACACGUGGGAAUAUCCCUCUCAGUUCGGAAUAACUCAGGGAAACUUGAGCUAAUACCGGAUACGUCCUUCGGGAGAAAGAUUUAUCGCUGAGAGAUUAGCCCGCGUCUGAUUAGCUAGUUGGUGAGGUAAUGGCUCACCAAGGCGACGAUCAGUAGCUGGUCUGAGAGGAUGAUCAGCCACACUGGGACUGAGACACGGCCCAGACUCCUACGGGAGGCAGCAGUGGGGAAUAUUGGACAAUGGGGGCAACCCUGAUCCAGCCAUGCCGCGUGAGUGAUGAAGGCCUUAGGGUUGUAAAGCUCUUUUGCCAGGGAAGAUAAUGACUGUACCUGGAGAAUAAGCCCCGGCUAACUUCGUGCCAGCAGCCGCAGUAA
rnacentral:rRNA from 1 species